rnacentral:rRNA from 1 species
UACGUAGGAGACGAGCGUUGUCCGGAAUCACUGGGCUUAAAGCGUGUGUAGGCGGCACGUUAAGUGUCCGAGUGAAAUCCCCCGGCUCAACCGGGGAACCGCCGGGCAUACUGGCGGGCUUGGGCCGCUCAGGGGCAGACGGAACAGGCGGUGGAGCGGUGAAAUGCGUAGAUAUCGGGAGGAACACCUGUGGCGAAAGCGGCGCACUGGACCACAACUGACGCUGAGGCGCGAAAGCUAGGGGAGCAAACAGG